rnacentral:rRNA from 1 species
AUUGAACGCUGGCGGCAGGCUUAACACAUGCAAGUCGAACGAGUGGCGGACGGGUGAGUAAUGCUUGGGAAACUGGCUUAUGGAGGGGGAUAACUACGGGAAACUGUAGCUAAUACCGCGUACCAUCGGAUGUGCCCAAGUGGGAUUAGGUAGUUGGUGGGGUAAAGGCUCACCAAGGCGACGAUCCCUAGCUGGUCUGAGAGGAUGACCAGCCACACUGGGACUGAGACACGGCCCAGACUCCUACGGGAGGCAGCAGUGGGGAAUAUUGCACAAUGGGCGCAAGCCUGACGCAGCCAUGCCGCGUGAAUGAAGAAGGCCUUCGGGUUGUAAAGUACUUUCGGUAGCGAGGCGUUACCUACAGAAGAAGCACCGGCUAACUCCGUGCCAGCAGCCGCGGUAAUUC